GGACCAGGCUACUAUGUCUUGGCCUGGGACUGAGGACUGGAGGUUAGGACCAGGCUACUAUGUCCUGGCCUGGGGCUGAGGACUGGAGGUUAGGACCAGGCUACUAUAUACUGGCCCGGGAUUGAGGACUGGAGGUUAGGACCAGGCUACUAUAUCCUGGCCUGGGGCUGAGGACUGGAGGUUAGGACCAGGCUACUAUAUCCUGGCCCGGGAUUGUGGACUGGAGGUUAGGACCAGGCUACUAUAUCCUGGCCUGGGAUGGAGGACUGGAGGUUAGGACCAGGCUACUAUAUCCUGGCCUGGGGCUGAGGACUGGAGGUUAGGACCAGGCUACUAUAUCCUGGCCUGGGAUGGAGGACUGGAGGUUAGGACCAGGCUACUAUAUCCUGGCCUGGGGCUGAGGACUGGAGGUUAGGACCAGGCUACUAUAUCCUGGCCUGGGGCUGAGGACUAGAGGUUAGGACCAGGCUACUAUAUCCUGGCCUGGGGCUGAGGACUGGAGGUUAGGACCAGGCUACUAUAUCCUGGCCUGGGGCUGAGGACUGGAGGUUAGGACCAGGCUACUAUAUCCUGGGACUGAGGACUGGAGGUUAGGACCAGACUACUAUAUCCUGGCCUGGGACUGAGGACUGGAGGUUAGGACCAGGCUACUAUAUCCUGGGACUGAGGACUGGAGGUUAGGACCAGGCUACUAUAUCCUGGCCUGGGACUGAGGACUGGAGGUUAGGACCAGGCUACUAUAUCCUGGCCUGGGACUGAGGACUGGAGGUUAGGACCAGGCUACUAUAUCCUGGCCUGGGACUGAGGACUGCAGGUUAGGUUAGGAGAUUGUCCAUACUAGACAUGGGUUCAAAUGGUAUUUGUUUUCUGUUUAAACACUUUAGAGGAUGUUUGAUUGAGCUUGUCUGGCUGCAGUGGAUUAGUGCUUUAGUCCCUGAUCAGUCUAACACUGAGUACACCAGAAGGGGAUGAGAGACACACUCUGGAACGCUGAGUACACAGGAAAGGGAUGAGAGACACACUCUGGAACGCUGAGUACACAGGAAGGGGAUGAGAGACACACACUCUGGAACGCUGAGUACACAGGAAGGAGAUGAGACACACACUCUGGAACGCUGAGUACACAGGAAGGGGAUGAGACACACACUCUGGAACGCUGAGUACACAGGAAAGGGAUGAGAGACACACUCUGGAACGCUGAGUACACAGGAAGGGGAUGAGACACACACUCUGGAACGCUGAGUACACAGGAAGGGGAUGAGACACGCACUCUGGAACGCUGAGUACACAGGAAGGGGAUGAGACACACACUCUGGAACGCUGAGUACACAGGAAGGGGAUGAGACACACACUCUGGAAUUCUGAGUACACAGGAACAGAUGUAAUUUAGCCCUUAGGUUUUUAAAGCUACUGCUGACAGUGCAGCGAAAAUCUGUCUGUCUGCAUCCUCACAAACCUGCGGCAUCUUUCUGACUUUAACCUCAGAGCUGGGGGCUGUCCUGAACCUCUGUAGAUCACUCCUGUUGCAAACACUGCCUGGCGGGGUGGGGGGUAGACCUAGACCCAGUCUGCUGCUGAAGGGGGUACGGAACUCCCCACCACCCCGGGUAGGGGUGGCCCGGGGAGGCGGACGAGACCCCCUCUCAUAGCCUGGCUCUCCUGAGAACAUGGAGUGUCUGCCCGACUGCACUGGGCUGGUUAACCCUGUUGUUCCUCUAGUGAAGGACCUAUUCUCCUGACUGGUCUCCUUUUCUUCUGUCCCUGAGCUGAUGACCUGGUGGAGGGAGGGAGGACUAUGGGGUGAGGACAACAUACCUGAAGAAGUGCGUUGACCUCUUACGAGCCACAUCUUUAACGUGACCCUAUGGGCCCUAGAUAACAGUAGUGCCCUACACAGGGGUAAAGGUGGCUAACAGUAGUGCCCUACAUGGGGGGAAAUGUGGCUAACAGUAGUGCCCUACAUGGGGGGGAAAUGUGGCUAAAAGUAGUGACCUACAUAGGGGUAAAGGUGGCUAACAGUAGUGCCCUACAUAGGGGUAAAGGUGGCUAACAGUAGUGCCCUACACAGGGGUAAAGGUGGCUAACAGUAGUGCCCUACACAGGGGUAAAGGUGGCUAACAGUAGUGCCCUACACAGGGGUAAAGGUGGCUAACAGUAGUGCCCUACACAGGGGUAAAGGUGGCUAACAGUAGUGACCUACACAGGGGUAAAGAUGGCUAACAGUAGUGCCCUACACAGGGGUAAAGGUGGCUAACAGUAGUGCCCUACACAGGGGUAAAGGUGGCUAACAGUAGUGCCCUACACAGGGGUAAAGGUGGCUAACAGUAGUGCCCUACACAGGGGUAAAGGUGGCUAACAGUAGUGCCCUAUAUAGGGGUAAAGGUGGCUAACAGUAGUGCCCUACACAGGGGUAGAGGUGGCUAACAGUAGUGCCCUAUAUAGGGGUAAAGGUGGCUAACAGUAGUGCCCUACACAGGGGUAGAGGUGGCUAACAGUAGUGCCCUAUAUAGGGGUAAAGGUGGCCAACAGUAGUGCCCUACACAGGGGAGGAGGUGGCUAACAGUAGUGCCCUACACAGGGGUAGAGGUGGCUAACAGUAGUGCCCUACACAGGGGUAAAGGUGGCUAACAGUAGUGCCCUACACAGGGGUAGAGGUGGCUAACAGUAGUGCCCUACACAGGGGUAAAGGUGGCUAACAGUAGUGCCCUACACAGGGGUAAAGGUGGCUAACAGUAGUGCCCUACACAGGGGUAAAGGUGGCUAACAGUAGUGCCCUAUAUAGGGGUAAAGGUGGCUAACAGUAGUGCCCUACACAGGGGUAGAGGU